AAUCGGUAAUAUUCAAAUAAGUUAAAUAAUCAGUUCAUGGUAGUAUUCUGCUGCCAAAGAGAGAUAAUUGUAAAAUCGCUAGCAGUUGAUAAAAUAAAGUAUAAAUUGAAAUUAAAAUGGAAUUGUUUGUACUGAAUUAAAAAGCUUUACCAUCAUUACUUCAAUUGCCGUUAACUCAGAGACUAGCAUAGAGUUUAUCUAUAGAGACUCUUUGAUUGAUUUAAUAAAAAGCCUUUGAUCGACGAUGGUUCAUUCGCCAAGUUUCAUUGAUGAGUAACAGUUGACUGAGAAUAUUUCACCUAACCCAUUCUUGAUAAAAGUAUAAAUUGGAAGUG